AGUAACGGCGAGUGAAGCGGGAAGAGCUCAAAUUUGAAAUCUAGUAGCCUUCGGCUGCUCGAGUUGUAAUCUAGAGAAGUGUUUUCCGUGCCGGCCCAUGUACAAGUCCCUUGGAACAGGGCGUCAUAGAGGGUGAGAAUCCCGUCCUUGACAUGGACCCCCGGUGCUCUGUGAUACACUUUCAACGAGUCGAGUUGUUUGGGAAUGCAGCUCAAAAUGGGUGGUGAAUUCCAUCUAAAGCUAAAUAUUGGCGAGAGACCGAUAGCGAACAAGUACCGUGAGGGAAAGAUGAAAAGCACUUUGGAAAGAGAGUUAAACAGUACGUGAAAUUGUUGAAAGGGAAACGAUUGAAGUCAGUCAUGCUCUUUGGUAUUUAUAUCAUUGAGUGGGGUCAACAUCAGUUUUGAGCGAUGGAUAAAGGCACUAGGAAGGUAGCACUCUCGGGUGAACUUAUAGCCUAGCGUCAUAUACAUUGUUUGGGACUGAGGAACGCAGCAUGCCUUUAUGGCCGGGAUUCGUCCACGUACAUGCUUAGGAUGUUGACAUAAUGGCUUUAAACGACCCGUCUUGA
rnacentral:rRNA from 1 species